CUCUUGAGGAAAUUUUUAUAUAAGAUUAUUAUUGAUUAAACAAAAAAACACAUCGUAUUAUUUCUCUCUUCCUCCAUAGCUUUUUGAAACCAUGAAUUACAAAGCAUUCACUUUGAUAUUGUUUGUAUUAAUUUUUUGUCUAUCGUCAACAAUGGCCUCUCGAAGAAUAUUAUCAGGUCCGGGAAGAAGUAGUAAAAUGCAAUCACGAUCUCGCCACCCUCGAGGAGAUAAAUCAGCAACUAUCCAACAACCACCUG